rnacentral:tRNA from 1 species
GCCUGGGUGGCUCAGUCGGUUGAGCGUCUGACUUCAGCUCAGGUCAUGAUCUCGCAGUCUGUGAGUUUGAGCCCCGCAUUGGGCU